GAUGAACGCUGGCGGCGUGCCUAAUACAUGCAAGUCGAGCGAACAGACGAGGAGCUUGCUCCUCUGACGUUAGCGGCGGACGGGUGAGUAACACGUGGAUAACCUACCUAUAAGACUGGGAUAACUUCGGGAAACCGGAGCUAAUACCGGAUAAUAUAUUGCACCGCAUGGUUCAAUAGUGAAAGACGGUUUUGCUGUCACUUAUAGAUGGAUCCGCGCCGCAUUAGCUAGUUGGUAAGGUAACGGCUUACCAAGGCGACGAUGCGUAGCCGACCUGAGAGGGAGAUCGGCCACCCUGGAACUGAGACACGGUCCAGACUCCUACGGGAGGAAGCAGUAGGGAAUCUUCCGCAAUGGGCGAAAGCCUGACGGAGCAACGCCGCGUGAGUGAUGAAGGUCUUCGGAUCGUAAAACUCUGUUAUUAGGGAAGAACAAAUGUGUAAGUAACUAUGCACGUCUUGACGGUACCUAAUCAGAAAGCCACGGCUAACUACGUG
rnacentral:rRNA from 1 species